rnacentral:rRNA from 1 species
GAACAAAUGUGUAAGUAACUAUGCACGUCUUUGACGGUACCUAAUCAGAAAGCCACGGCUAACUACGUGCCAGCAGCCGCGGUAAUACGUAGGUGGCAAGCGUUAUCCGGAAUUUAUUGGGCGUAAAGCGCGCGGGUAGGCGGUUUCUUAAGUCUGAUGUGAAAGCCCACGGCUCAACCCGUGGAGGGUCAUUUGGAAACUGGGAAACUUUGAGUGCAGAAGAGGAAAGUGGAAUUUCCAUGUGUAGCGGUGAAAUGCGCAGAGAUUAUGGAGGAACACCAGGUGGCGAAAGGCGGACUUUUCUGGUCUGUAACUGACGCUGAUGUGCGAAAGCGUGGGGAUCAAAACAGGAUUAGAUACCCUGGUAGUCCACGCCGUAAACGAUGAGUGCUAAGUGGUUAAGGGGUUUCCGCCCCUUAGUGCUGCAGCCUAACGCAUUAAGCACUUCCGCCUGGGGGAAUACGACCGC